rnacentral:rRNA from 1 species
CCUACGGGUGGCUGCAGUGGGGAAUAUUGGACAAUGGGGGGAACCCUGAUCCAGCCAUGCCGCGUGUGUGAAGAAGGCCCUCGGGUUGUAAAGCACUUUCAGUGAGGAAGAACGCCUGGUGGUUAAUACCCAUCAGGAAAGACAUCACUCACAGAAGAAGCACCGGCUAACUCCGUGCCAGCAGCCGCGGUAAUACGGAGGGUUCGAGCGUUAAUCGGAAUUACUGGGCGUAAAGCGCGCGUAGGUGGCUUGAUAAGCCGGUUGUGAAAGCCCCGGGCUCAACCUGGGAACGGCAUCCGGAACUGUCAAGCUAGAGUGCAGGAGAGGAAGGUAGAAUUCCCGGUGUAGCGGUGAAAUGCGUAGAGAUCGGGAGGAAUACCAGUGGCGAAGGCGGCCUUCUGGACUGACACUGACACUGAUGUGCGAAAGCGUGGGUAGCAAACAGGAUUAGAUACCCGAGUAGUC